UCCUCGACCUCCCAGUCCAGCCGGCCAAUGAAGUUAUGGGCUUUAGCCACGGCUCUGCUUCGGCUGCCCAGCACCUGCCCUUCCGCUUCUAUGACCAGGCCAGGCGAGGCGCCUGCGACCAGGCCGUCCAGCGCUCCGUCUUCGCUUCAGUGGACAAGGUCCCAGGGGCCCCAAGGAAGAAGCCUCUGAAGGGGAAUCCCGCUCGGCACCACCAGCGACCCUUCUCCCGGACCAGAUAAGCCCCUCGGACGGAGGAGGAUGCAGCUAGAACCCUCGGGGAAUGAACCAAUAGUCGUGCUUAUGGCCAACCUUGGGGGG